AUGCCCUUUUCUAUCAUUUUUUCAUAUCUCCCUCUCUUCCAUUUUUAUUCUCUCCUUCUUUCCUCCAAUAAAAAGGGCUGCUUGGCUCAUACCUCCAUCAACAGAUGCUUGGAAAUAAUGCACCAUGGCAAGUUUUCAAAUAUUUUUUUUUCCUCCCUCCAGAGAGAAAAACAAAAGGGUAAAGAUGGCUUGAGGGAUUGGAUCAGAACAUUGUUUUACUGGAAUUUGCAGCUGUUUCUGGAUUGCAGAAGUCACUGGAGGGAAACAAUGUGCUCGGGGACUGAAGGAAAUGAGCGUGUGUCUGAGGAGAGGCAUGGGAAACUCACAUAGGAUGGGAGCAAAACAAGGCCAAGGAUGCUCUUCCUGCCAUGCAUCCUGUCAUCUCUACGGAGGGAGCCUGUGGAACACCUGCAGUUAGGCAGAAAUCAGGGUAGGUGGAAAAUGGUGGUCACCCAGCCACCUACCAAUACUCAUUCCAGCUCCUCUUGGUAGAUAUUUCUGUUUACUGUUAGGUUCACAUAUAUUCUUUCUUCUUCCUCUUCCUCCUCCUCCUCCUCCUCCUCCUCCCCCCUCCCCCCCCCUCCUCCCCUCCCCUCCUCCUCCUCCUCCUCCUCCUCCUCCUCCUCCUCCUCCUCCUCCUCCUCCUCCUCCUCCUCUUCUUCUUCUUCUUCUUCUUCUUCUUCUUCUUCUUCUUCUCCUUCUUCUUCUUCUUCUUCUUUUUAAGAAAGUUAGUAUAUGGAUUGAAUGCUGUCCCUACCAAAAGAUGUUGACUCCAGUACCUAUGAAGGUGACCUUAUUUGGAAAUGGGGUCUUUGCAGAUGAUCGAGUUAACAUGCGUCAUUAGGGCAGGCUCUAACUCAGUGUGACUGACGUCCUCGUAAAAAGAGGAGAUUUAGACAGAGACAUACAUGCAUGGAGAGAGGACAAUGGGAAGACACAAGGAAAAGAUGGCCAUCUACAAGCCAAGGAAUACCUGAGGCUACAGAAGGAAGGAGAGAGACGAGGAACAGAGUCUGCCUCACAGUCCUCGGAAGAGACCAACCCUACCAACACUUUGAGUUCCGACUUCCAGCCUCCAGAACUGUGAAGCACAAUAUAUUUCUGUUGUUUAAGCCACUAGUUUGUGGUACUGUGUUUUGGCAGUCUCAGCAAACAAAUACAGUUAAGUUUGAUAAAAAUCUUCUGGUCCAAUCUUAUUUCUCCAGUGAAGAAACUGAAGUUCAACAAAUAAAAUGACUUAUGCAGUUGUGGAGCUCAUUGGUGGACAGGACUCUAAAUUCCCAGAUCAUUCCUCUCUCCAGUGCUAUAACUGGUGUGAUUUGGAUAAAUCACAUCAGGCUUCUACCAUUGGAUCAAGAGAAUGGAGUGACGUUACUCCUAUCUUGUAGUGUACAGAGUACUAGAUUUUAAAAGUUUAAGACAACAUGGAGUGGGUAUGCUUCUCCUGUACUUUCGGUGUCAGUGGGUUUUGCCAAUGCUCACUGGCUCAUCUUUUUUUUUUUUUUUUGAGGGAGUCUAGCUGUGUCACCCAGGCUGGAGUGCAGUGGCACAAUCUUGGCUCACUGCAACCUCUGCCUCCCGGGUUCAAGCAAUUCUCCUGUCUCAGCCUCCUGAGUAGAUGGGACUACAGGUGCCCGCAACCACGCUUUGCUCAUUUUUGUAUUUUUAGCAGAGACAGGGUUUGGCCAUGUUGGCCAGGCUGGUCUUGAACUCCUGAUCUAAGGUGAUCCACCUGCCUUGGACUCCCAAAACGCUGGG
rnacentral:lncRNA from 1 species